CAGUCGCCGCGGGAAUACGGAGGGAGCUAGCGUUGUUCGGAAUUACCGGGCGUAAAGCGCGCGUAGGCGGUUACUCAAGUCAGAGGUGAAAGCCCGGGGCUCAACCCCGGAACUGCCUUUGAAACUAGGUGACUAGAAUCUUGGAGAGGUCAGUGGAAUUCCGAGUGUAGAGGUGAAAUUCGUAGAUAUUCGGAAGAACACCAGUGGCGAAGGCGACUGACUGGACAAGUAUUGACGCUGAGGUGCGAAAGCGUGGGGAGCAAACAGGAUUAGAUACCCCGGUAGUCCCUGUCUCUUAUAC
rnacentral:rRNA from 1 species